rnacentral:rRNA from 1 species
GGGCCCGCACAAGCGGUGGAGCAUGUGGUUUAAUUCGAUGCAACGCGAAGAACCUUACCUGGUCUUGACAUACACAGAAUCUUGUAGAGAUACGAGAGUGCCUUCGGGAAUUGUGAUACAGGUGCUGCAUGGCUGUCGUCAGCUCGUGUCGUGAGAUGUUGGGUUAAGUCCCGCAACGAGCGCAACCCUUGUCCUUAGUUACCAGCGGGUUAAGCCGGGAACUCUAAGGAUACUGCCAGUGACAAACUGGAGGAAGGCGGGGACGACGUCAAGUCAUCAUGGCCCUUACGACCAGGGCUACACACGUGCUACAAUGGUAGGUACAGAGGGCAGCUACACAGCGAUGUGAUGCGAAUCUACAAAACCGGUCUCAGUUCGGAUCGCAGUCUGCAACUCGACUGCGUGAAGCUGGAAUCGCUAGUAAUCG